AAGCUGGUAUUCUGGAUACUUACCUGGGGAAAUACUGGGCUAUCAAACUGGCUACCAAUGCUGCUGUCACUGUACUUAGAGUGGAUCAGAUCAUCAUGGCAAAACCAGCUGGUGGGCCCAAGCCGCCAAGUGGAAAGAAAGACUGGGAUGAAGACCAAAAUGAUUGAAUAGCUUAAUUUUACUGUUAAAUUUGAGUAGUUUAGGAAUUACCCUCUGUCCUUAUUCUCCUUAAGUUAAGUGCUUUGUGCUUAUAUCCAGCUGGAUGAUAUAAUAAAUAUGUUGUUCUUAUCAAA